ACAAUACUAGUAUAGAUGGGCAUGAAUUUGUUAAGCCAGCCUAGCCAGAGCAAGGUAAAUAAAAGAAUCAAAGGGGCAUGUGAAAAAAAAAAGUGAUGCAUUGUUGUAGCAUAUUGUAGUUUAAAUUGUAUCUAAAUAAAAUGGCAUAUAGUAUUCUACUAUUUCAUUUAAAUAGAGAAAUAUAAUGGUCAGGUCUAAUUAAAUAUAAGAAAAAUUCUUUCCAACAAACAUGAUUUAAAAACACUUUGUCUGCAGUCUCUGCACUGUUUCAAAGAAGACCUACAAACUAUUUACUAUAAGGCAUAUACCAUUAUAGCAUCCAAAACCAACCGUUUGAGCUAUAAGCUAGACAGGAUAAAAAUAUAUAAAUAAUGAAGCUAAGUUUUCAUAAAUAUUAUUACUGACACAGUUAUAUUUAAUUAUGUGUUAAUCUUAUCUUUGUGUUUAUAAUAGCUAUUAAUAUGCUGCAGUAUACAUUAAAUUUGUAAAGAUAAAGGUGCAGAUAUUUUCCUUAAUAAGGAGUUUGUGAUCAUUAAUUAGAAUACUGUGAAAAACUUAUGUUGAAUUGCAAUGACAUAUUGUCAAUGUUUUAAAAAUUGGCUUAUGGUCAAAAUAUAGAAGAAAAAACUCAUUUCAAUGGCGUUUUAUAAAGGAUAACAAAAGAAAACAUACCUAGGGAACUAGAAAUUACGGACGAUAUAGGCUAGUAAGUUGAAGUUGUACGAAAACAGCUGAUGAAAUUCAUACAGUAAGUAUAAAAAUGAAAUCUUACACUGUCAUAUUUCCAGCUCCACGAACAACUAUCGGAUCUGGCACUAAUGUCACAUGCAUCUCCUCUAUAUUUUCUUCACCGUCAUCGAGAUCAUCUGGAUAAAUAGCAUCAAAAUCUGCCAUUUUACUUACUAACUAUAAGUCUAUAACGUCUAUUAUAAACACAUAACAAAGCACUGUUUGUUGGAUAUUAAACUUCUAAGCAAAAAGAAAAAAGGAAUACAUAGUAAUAGUAAGUGUGUAUAUGUUUGACAUUUGCUUUAUAAACAGAUUUGUCUAGUGUUGCCUCUUAUUUGUUAUAUUGUCUGCUAUUCUAUAGUAGAAAAUAACAUGAACGAAAUCAAAAAUAUUGUAAAACCGAUUACGUAAUUAAUUAUUGUGAAAUCCUAAUUUAUAUUCAUCAAAAUUACCAAAAAGAAACAUUGAUUAAAUGUAGAAUAUGAACAAAACCUUAUAUAUUAUACACUGUAAUAAAGUUGUAGAGGAUGC